CUACCACACUGACAUGUACAGCUCUCUGGGUGAGGUUCUGUCUGUCUAACACACUGACAUGUACAGCUCUCUGGGUGAGGUUCUGUCUAACCACACUGAUAUGUACAGCUCUCUGGGUGAGGUUCUGUCUAACCACACUGACAUGUACAGCUCUCUGGGUGAGGUUCUGUCUAACCACACUGAUAUGUACAGCUCUCUGGGUGAGGUUCUGUCUGUCUAACACACUGACAUGUACAGCUCUCUGGGUGAGGUUCUGUCUAACCACACUGACAUGUACAGCUCUCUGGGUGAGGUUCUGUCUAACCACACUGAUAUGUACAGCUCUCUGGGUGAGGUUCUGUCUGUCUAACACACUGACAUGUACAGCUCUCUGGGUGAGGUUCUGUCUGUCUAACACACUGACAUGUACAGCUCUCUGGGUGAGGUUCUGUCUGUCUAACACACUGACAUGUACAACUCUCUGGGUGAGGUUCUGUCUGUCUAACACACUGACAUGUACAGCUCUCUGGGUGAGGUUCUGUCUGUCUAACCAGGUUCUGUCUAACACACUGACAUGUACAGCUCUCUGGGUGCGGUUCUGUCUGUCUAACACACUGACAUGUACAGCUCUCUGGGUGAG